UCCUUAGUAAUAAAAUCGGUAGUAUAACAGAUUGCACAACUGUAGAUGCGAGUUCAAGUUUCGCGUGAGGUU
rnacentral:tRNA from 1 species